rnacentral:rRNA from 1 species
GAUGAACGCUGGCGGCGUGCAUAACACAUGCAAGUCGAACGGUAAGGCCCUUUCGGGGGUACACGAGUGGCGAACGGGUGAGUAACACGCGGGUGAUCUGCCCUGCACUUUGGGAUAAGCUUGGGAAACUGGGUCUAAUACCGAAUAGGACUACGCUCCGCAUGGGGUGUGGUGGAAAGCUUUUGCGGUGUGGGAUGGGCCCGCGGCCUAUCAGCUUGUUGGUGGGGUGAUGGCCUACCAAGGCGACGCAGGGUAGCCGGCCUGGGAGGGUGGCGGGCCACAGGGGGCCUGAGAUGCGGCCCCGACACCUACGGGAGGCAGCAGUGGGCAAUAUUGGACAAUGGGCGGAAGCCUGAUGCAGCGACGCCGCGUGGGGGAUGGCGGCCUUCUGGUUGUAAACCUCUUGCAGCACAGAGGAAGCGCAAGUGACGGUAUGUGCAGAAGAAGUACCGGCCAACUACGUGCCAGCCGCCGCAGUAA